rnacentral:rRNA from 1 species
GACGACGCUGGCGGCGUGGAUUAGGCAUGCAAGUCGAACGGUAUCAUCCUUCGGGGGUGAGAGAGUGGCGAACUGGUGAGUAACACGUAGGUUAUCUACCCUCAAGACGGGGACAACCCAGGGAAACUUGGGCUAAUACCGGAUGUGAGCAACUUUUAGUUGUUUGAAAGGUGGCGUAAGCUGUCGCUUGGGGAUGAGCCUGCGUCCUAUUAGUUAGUUGGUGAGGUAACGGCUCACCUAGGCAAUGAUAGGUAGGCGGCCUUAACGGGUGGUCGCCCACACUGGGAUUGAGAUACGGCCCAGACUCCUACGGGAGGCAGCAGUCGAGAAUAGUCUACAAUGGUCGGAAGACUGAUAGUGCGACGCCGCGUGAACGAUGAAUCCCUUCGGGGUGUAAAGUUCUUUUAUAUGUGAGCAGUGCUUCUUAUAUUAACAGUAUGGGGAGAGAGAUAUUAGCAUAUGAAUAAGCAACGACUAACUCCGUG